rnacentral:lncRNA from 1 species
AAAGGACGAGAGAUUCUUACUCCGGAUCGGUGUUGGAAACACCAUCUUUUUUACUGCUCCUCCUGGCUGUUCUCGACUUUCUUGGAUUUUUCAUGCGAAAAUCAAAAACACGUCACUUAUCUCAAAGUACCCCAAAAAGACCAAAAUGAGCAUUUUUGAAAUUUUUUUGGCCGGUUUAGGAUUCCGGCACGGCAGCGUCGCCGUAAGG